CUCAUGUUUACAGGAUGUCAGAACUACUCUGCUCUUGGGACUUGGCUUCAUUUGUAAAUUGAAUAGAUAAUGCAACUUUUAUCUACAGCUGGUAUUUUUUGCCUCAAGUUGGCUUUUCCCAAGUUUUCCUUAAUAUUCUUUUUUUCCAUAUUUCUCUCAUCAUUAUCUUCCCCUUAUGUCCUGAAGGAGUUGAGGAAUUCCUUCCAAAGCUUUUGUGGAACCCUAUCACCAUCUUAGGUCAGUUUAUAAGACGAAACCUCUUCACUGCUCGAAUGGGGGUUGAUGCUUACAGUGAAGCCAACACUAUGGAGUUCAGAAUAAGCAGGUCAUGUUCCAUGGAGCCAUUUGAUACCUUUGGAAAGCUGAAAAAUACCAGUGAUAAAAUCAGUAAUAACUGGUUUUAUUUUUCAUACAGGUUUUACAGCGGGGUUUAGAUUUGUGGGAGAGUGGGUACAGGAGUCAGUAGCAACAGAAAGGCAAAUAACAAUGUGUGUUUCCUCCAUCUCUCCUCUUCAUAGAUGUUUAGAGGUGUGUUACAGAGGCACCACUAAAGCCAAAUGUUUUAACGUUGUGGAAGGUGGUAAACUGCAGAAUGCAUCAGAGAAGGAUGGCAGCGUGAGGAGACUGACAUUCAGCAGGCCUUUCAGAGAAGACUUCUGGACUUGCAGUUACAUCAGGAAAUGCCAGACCAUGACUGUGCUGGGACAUUUUGAGCUUUUGGUCAGCGUUCUGGUAGGUGCUGUGGAACUUUUUCAGAUUUCGAUAUGCAGAGAUACUGUCUUAAACCCCUCCGUGGAAAUUUAUGGUCUUAUUUUGUCUUCCUCUUGUUCUUUCCCCGUGACUUUCAGUGACCAAAGUCUUUCGUCGGUCAUGUUGUUUCCUCUCUG
rnacentral:lncRNA from 1 species